rnacentral:lncRNA from 1 species
GGGUCGACGGUGCGGGUCCCGAUCCCUUGCCGGUGCGCGAACGGGACGGGUUGGUCGGAUCGCACGCCGGUCUAUACGGUGCAGGACGGGGACGUGGGCCUGUACAACAUCACGGUCGCCCGGUUCAGCAAUCUGACGACGUACCAGGAUAUCGGGAAGGCCAACCAGCUGCCGGACGUGAACAAGAUCCAGGUGGGGCAGAAACUGUGGAUCCCGCUGCCGUGCAGCUGCGACGAGGUGGACGGGGCGGAGGUGGUGCACCUGGCUCACGUGGUGGCGCCCGGGAGCUCGGUGGAGGGCAUCGCCAUGGAGUUCGGCACCAACGCCUCCACGCUGCUGCGCCUCAACGGGAUGAGCGACCCCAAAGCGCUGAUGGCGUACCAGGUCCUGGACGUGCCCCUCCACGGUCGGUACUCUACUCUCUUCACCUUCCCUUUCCUUCUUCCCUACCACUCUCAAACACACAUCCUUUUGAUCAGAUUAAAGACCCAUCAGUUCCAUGAAUUCCACCAUCCAUAGCUCACAGAAGAGAUGAUGAAAUGGGUUCCUGUUUUACCAAGAUAAGAAGCCCACUUUGACAUGGCUUUGGUAACAUUGGAUUCCAUUGAUGAGAAAUAUCUCGAGCUUUUGUCUCCGAUCGCUCUGCGUGCGUGUCUUCCACUUGCGUCAUCUACUUGUCUUCCUCCACCAAGUCUCUACUUGUCUUCCUCCACCACGUCGACCGGUCAACUCUAUUAGUUCUCUAAAUUUAGCAUAUAAAAAACUUAAACCCAUACAAAAUACCUAUUAGAAUUGUUAUAAUGAUGAUAUUAUCAAUAUCAUUUGUGAUAGAUAAUAAUAUAUAUUGACUUUGUACCAUUUGGAUGUCUACAGCUUGUUCAUCUUCCAUUACCAACAAUUCCUUGGACUACGGUCUGCGCCUCGCCAACGGCAGUUACGCCACCACUGCUAAUGGCUGCAUCACCUGCAGCUGCACCGCCACCAC